AGAACCUUCACAAAAACACAUGGAGCAACUGCGAAAAGAAAUGUCUGAGGAUAUACUAAAAACGUAUGUUCAACAAAGCCAACAACUGCUUCAUGUGUGCCACUGCUAAAGAAUCUGGAUGUGGCCCAAAGACUGACUAGGUUUUGCAUGCCAACGGUGGUUCCAUGUGCUGUGCCGAGGAAUGAAGACAAAAGACUUCAACAGAGUAAAGAACACAAACUGGAAGUGCAGUCUUUGUUGUUGAAAAUGUAUACUAUACCCCAUCCACACUGAAGAGGCUCUGACAUGUACAUCAACCAGGGUUAAUGUAUG
ensembl:lncRNA